rnacentral:rRNA from 1 species
CCGCGGUAAUACGUAGGGUGCGAGCGUUGUCCGGAAUUAUUGGGCGUAAAGGGCUCGUAGGCGGUUUGUCGCGUCGGGAGUGAAAACGCCGUGCUUAACACGGCGCUUGCUUUCGAUACGGGCAGACUAGAGGUAUGCAGGGGAGAACGGAAUUCCUGGUGUAGCGGUGAAAUGCGCAGAUAUCAGGAGGAACACCGGUGGCGAAGGCGGUUCUCUGGGCAUGUCCUGACGCUGAGGAGCGAAAGUGUGGGGAGCGAACAGG